rnacentral:rRNA from 1 species
UACGGGGGGGGCAAGCGUUGUUCGGAAUUACUGGGCGUAAAGGGCUCGUAGGCGGCCAACUAAGUCGGACGUGAAAUCCCCAGGCUCAACCUGGGAACUGCGUCCGAUACUGGAUGGCUUGAAUCCGGGAGAGGGAUGCAGAAUUCCAGGUGUAGCGGUGAAAUGCGUAGAUAUCUGGAGGAAUACCGGUGGCGAAGGCGGCAUCCUGGACCGGCAUUGACGCUGAGGAGCGAAAGCCAGGGGAGCAGACGGG